AACGCACAUUGCGCCCAUUAGUAUUCUAGUGGGCAUGCCUGUUCGAGCGUCAUUUCAACCCCUAAGCACAGCUUACUGUUGGGACUCUACGGCCUCCGUAGUUCCCUAAUGCGAUUGGCGGAGUGGCAGUAGUCCUCUGAGCGUAGUAAUUCUUUAUCUCGCUUUUGUUAGGUGCUGCCCCCCCGGCCGUUAAACCCCCAAUUUUUUCUGGUUGACCUCGGAUCAGGUAGGAAUACCCGCUGAACUUAA
rnacentral:misc_RNA from 2 species